CGCGCCUGUUUUUCAGUCUUUUACCCUCUCUGUGUAUACACCACAACCACAAAACCUCUCUCUCAGCAAACCUCACCACCGCAAAUCAACAAACCUCACGGCGAUCAAACCUUACGACCGGGCAUCCUCACGAUCUCUCUCUCAGCACCGAAUGUCCAUCCUCUGGUGGUCUUCAACAUCUGUGACUGCUACAUCCGGCGACCCGACGAGGCCGAGCGGGUCAUCGGAACUCUUCUCGGCUCUGUCUUGCCCGACGGCACCGUCGAUAUUCGCAACUCUUGAGCUGUUCCUCACAAUGGGUCCUCUAAUCAGGUUGCACUGGAUGUAGACUAUCAUCAUAAUAUGCUACAAUCCCACCUGAAGGUGAACCCAAAAGAAGUCAUUGUUGGAUGGCAUGUACAAGCAAGAGUUCAUUUUCUAUGUGCAAGUGAAGGAGAGGUUGCAUAGUUCAGAUGAUUACCAGGCAUUCUUGAAGUGUCUUCAUAUUUACAGCACAGAAAUAAUCACAAAAAAAUAUUUACAAAGUUUGAUGACUUUGUUGCGUGGACUUCCAGAGAUAUUUUGGUGUAUGGAGAAGAAAUUGUAUUUUUGUAUAGAAGUAAUAUAAUACUUUUGUCAUCUUCGGCUUUUGUGCAGUUAACUAUUACUGAUAAAGAAAACUUUUGGUAGCGAACAGAUAAUUACUGGUAUGGUAGAUAGAUCACCUUUUGUCCCUGUACAGAUAUAUGAUUUUUUGUUGUGGUACAUAGAUGUACUUUUGGCUUGGUACAUGCAUCACCUUUUGUCGUGGUACAUAUUACGAUGGUAAUUUGUACUAUGCCAAAUGGUCAUUUCACAUGGUAUAGUAAAUGUAAUUUUUGUAUAUGGAGGACUUUACUUUUUGUAUAAUUCUAUAUGUUGUAUGGAAUUAUUAUAUUAGUUUGGACAAUAGUUGGUUUUUAUGUAC